rnacentral:rRNA from 1 species
GUAGGGUGCGAGCGUUAAUCGGAAUUACUGGGCGUAAAGCGUGCGCAGGCGGUUAUGUAAGACAGAUGUGAAAUCCCCGGGCUCAACCUGGGAACUGCAUUUGUGACUGCAUGGCUAGAGUACGGUAGAGGGGGAUGGAAUUCCGCGUGUAGCAGUGAAAUGCGUAGAUAUGCGGAGGAACACCGAUGGCGAGGGCAAUCCCCUGGACCUGUACUGACGCUCAUGCACGAAAGCGUGGGGAGCAAACAGGAUUAGAUACCCUGGUAGUCCCACGCCCUAAACGAUGUCAACUGGUUGUUGGGAAUUAGUUUUCUCAGUAACGAAGCUAACGCGUGAAGUUGACCGCCUGGGAGUACGGCCGCAAGGUUG